CGUGAAGCUGGAAUCGCUAGUAAUCGCGGAUCAGAAUGCCGCGGUGAAUACGUUCCCGGGUCUUGUACACACCGCCCGUCACACCAUGGGAGCCGGAAACGCCCGAAGCCAGUGGCCUGACCGCGAGGGGGGAGCUGUCGAAGGCGGGUCCGGUGACCGGGGUGAAGUCGUAACAAGGUAUC
rnacentral:rRNA from 1 species